CCCUCCACUUCCUCUCGCUCGCCGCCAGCGCCGCCGUUGUUCCAGCCACGGCUUCUCUCUCCGGCCAGCCCGUUGAUGCUCGCGUGCGCCGCGGCCUGCUCGUAGCCGCGGUUGCCCAACACGGCGCCCUACGGCGGCUUCGGUUGCGGCGGUGGGGGAGCGGGAGGGCUUGGCAGUGGAGGCGGGGGCAGGCUGAGGCGGCUCGUCCACUCCCUCGCCAUGGCCGCGCCGGCGCCCGUGCCCGCGCAGCUCCGGAGGUGCCCCUGCUCCGCGCCCCUCUGGACCCUCUCC
rnacentral:lncRNA from 1 species